rnacentral:rRNA from 1 species
AAAAGAAAAUAACAAUGAUUUCCCUAGUAACGGCGAGUGAAGAGGAAAGAGCUCAAAGUUGGAAACUGUUUGGCUUAGCUAAACCGUAUUGUAAACUGUAGAAACAUUUUCCUGGCACGCCGGAUUAAUAAGUCCUUUGGAACAAGGCAUCAUGGAGGGUGAGAAUCCCGUCUUUGAUCCGAGUAGUUGUCUUUUGUGAUAUGUUUUCAAAGAGUCAGGUUGUUUGGGAAUGCAGCCUAAAUUGGGUGGUAAAUCUCACCUAAAGCUAAAUAUUUGCGAGAGACCGAUAGCGAACAAGUACCGUGAGGGAAAGAUGAAAAGAACUUUGAAAAGAGAGUUAAACAGUAUGUGAAAUUGUUAAAAGGGAACCGUUUGGAGCCAGACUGGUUUGACUGUAAUCAACCUAGAAUUCGUUCUGGGUGCACUUGCAGUCUAUACCUGCCAACAACAGUUUGAUUUGGAGGAAAAAAUUAGUAGGAAUGUAGCCUCUCGAGGUGUUAUAGCCUACUAUCAUACUCUGGAUUGGACUGAGGAACGCAGCGAAUGCCAUUAGGCGAGAUUGCUGGGUGCUUUCGCUAAUAAAUGUUAGAAUUUCUGCUUCGGGUGGUGCUAAUGUUUAAAGGAGGAACACAUCUAGUAUAUUUUUUAUUCGCUUAGGUUGUUGGCUUAAUGACUCUAAAUGACCCGU